UUUCCGUAGGUGAACCUGCGGAAGGAUCAUU
rnacentral:ncRNA from 137 species